rnacentral:rRNA from 1 species
UACGUAGGGUGCGAGCGUUGUCCGGAAUUACUGGGCGUAAAGAGCUCGUAGGUGGUUUGUCGCGUUGUUCGUGAAAUCUCACGGCUUAACUGUGGGCUUGCGGUCGAUACGGGCAUCACUGGAGUUCGGCAGGGGAGACUGGAAUUCCUGGUGUAGCGGUGAAAUGCGCAGAUAUCAGGAGGAACACCGGUGGCGAAGGCGGCUACCUGGCACAUAACUGACGCUGAUACGCGAAAGCGUGGGGAGCGAACCGG